rnacentral:rRNA from 1 species
UGCCAGCCGCCGCGGUAAUACGGAGGGUGCGAGCGUUAUUCGGAAUUAUUGGGCGUAAAGGGCUCGCAGGCUGCUUGAACAGUUAGACGUGAAAUCCCCGGGCUCAACCUGGGAACUGCAUCCAAAACUGAUUCACUAGAGUACGAUAGAGGGAGGUAGAAUUCACAGUGUAGCGGUGGAAUGCGUAGAUAUUGUGAAGAAUACCAAUGGCGAAGGCAGCCUCCUGGAUCUGUACUGACACUGAGGUGCGAAAGCGUGGGUAGCGAACAGGAUUAGAUA